UUAGUGUUAGCCAAACCUUGCCGCAUUUUGUCCGUCCUCUUUUCUUGUAGUUGUAGCAUCUUCCAACAUUGUGAUUUGUCUUUUAUGGCCUAGUAGUUGAGAGAUUUGUAUCUUGCCAGCUCAGCCGGCUUCUAUGUCCUGCUGAAUAGCAAGAAUUGAGCGUCUGUGACGCCAGCGCCGAAACUGCGCCGACUUGGCGACGUCAUUCGUCACGGACCAGGAUCCAGUUGCAAACCUGUCCCAUUGUAAGGGCCUGAAAUGGAGCGGUCUGGACGAAGGGGAUUACUAGUAUUGUGGAAGCUUUUUGAAGCAUGCGUUGGUUGCUCUUCACACGCUAGAUUGUAAUGGUUGGGAGCACGGAAAGCGACUACAAGCAUUGAGUGUACUCAGUUCCAAAUUCAUCUGCCUUCUCUAGAAGUUUGUGCGCUCAAUGUGCAACGUGCCUCGUCUCAAUAGUGACGACUGGGAGGUACACGACAUACUUUGCCCAUACUGUCCACGGGAGAGACUGAUUUUCACACAUACAUGUAUAAUAUGUAUAUUACCGUGAAAUCCAGAGUUACAGUAGAAACGCUUUUGAUUCCUCUCAAGUGUGUGUACAUGUAUAUUCUGUAGGACUCAGCAAUCCCUGAAAUGUUUACUAACCCUUACCUUAGGACUAGUUAGGAGGGCUUCGUGAUUGGCCUGAGAACUUUUGUAAUCUCAAUUUGACAAACCCUGACCAUAACACAAUGGCGAUCAUAACUGGA